rnacentral:rRNA from 1 species
GACGAACGCUGGCGGCGUGCCUAAUACAUGCCAGUUGAGCGAUGAAGCUUGGUGCUUGCGCCAAUUUGAAGAGCAGCGAACGGGUGAGUAACGCGUGGGGAAUCUGCCUUUGAGCGGGGGACAACAUUUGGAAACGAAUGCUAAUACCGCAUAACCACUUUAAACAUAAGUUUUAAGUUUGAAAGAUGCAAUUGCAUCACUCAAUGAUGAUCCCGCGUUGUAUUAGCUAGUUGGUGAGGUAAAGGCGCCCCAAGGCGAUGAUACAUAGCAGACCGGAGAGGGUGGGCAGCCGCAUUGGGACUGAGACACGGCCCAAUCUCCUACAGGAAGCGGCAAGAGGGAAACUUCGGGAAGGGGCGGAAGUCUGACCGCACAACGCCGAAGGAUGAUAGAAGGGUGUCGGGUCCGAAAACUCGGUUGGUAGGGAAGAACGUUAUUGCGAGUGGAAAGCACAUCAAGUGACGGUAACGACUCAGAAAGCAACGGCUAACUACGUG